AGCGGCCUUCCCAUAUAUGAAAACGCGAGCGAAAGCGAAAGCGAAACCAUACACACACAGGAGGGCUCCCGGCUGGCGGAGAAGGAGAGAGGCGGGAUCGAAAGACAGCCUGAGCCAACGGGCGCUGAUGUCGCCUGGUGCCGGCGAAGCAGAGGGCGGCCGCAUCCCUCCAGCCGUUGCGGUCUCCGCCUGGUCGGACGGAGCUCGCCGACGAGGUGCGCAGGCGGCAGGCCUCCUGGGCGAACACUAUCUAGCAUGGUCUCCGAUGCAGUCGCUUGGGGAUUCGUUUGCGGGCGUGCCGCCGUCAUCGGUCACUGCGUCCAGCUAGCCAGUCGCCCUCCUCCCGUCCUCCGCUCCUGCCUCCCCGUGAUCUCGCCCAGCGGCCGUCGCCGUUUCGUGCAAAAGAAAGCAGAGGAGAGGUAGGAGUGCCGCUGGCGACACAGGACAAAAGCCGGCGGCAUGGCAACCGAUCAGAUCAAGAUUCAGGAGCUCCAAGACCACAGGAACGUGGACGGUCGACCACAAGCGUGGCGGUGGAGUCCGACGACCACCGGUGCGGGAGAUCUGCCGUGCCCGCCCAGAUAAUUAAUGUUCGAAUUCUAUAUGUAUUUCAAAUGCUACAAGUGUUGUUCUUGAAUUGGGUCGUAUAAUCUUCCUAUUAGGAUCUUCAGGUUUUUUCCCUCCCCUGUUAUAUUGGAUCAUAUACCUUUUUGUCAACAUCUUCAAAUUUUGCAUUCCGUAUUUUGUCUUAUCAUCUUCUCUCCCAGUAAGUGCAUAGCUUCUUCUACUCUUGGUGAAAUGAUGAUAGAUGAAAGUCAGCUGACACAUAUGUGGGCUUUUUUUUAUGGUUUUCGCUGAUAAUCAUCAAUUUAUAUUUGCUUACCACCAGUAAAGUUAGAAGUGUUUUGGUCCCAUGUUGGACUGCGUUCAUUUGUUCAUUUUAAAAGGCUUUCUGCAAUACCUUAAAACAAUACUAUUUGCCACAUAUUUAUUUUACCUGUGGUCUUCUGCUGUUGCAGAGUUGGUAGUUCUUAUACCUACAUGUAAAGUAAUUCCCCCUUCCAUCAAUCUGUUUUCCUAUUAAUAUGUAAGCUGCACAUAAACAGGAUUUCAACUCUGAAAUAGUGUGAACUGGGACGUAAAUCUCAUACUCUCAUUUUUUACUGUAGAUAGGUUUCUGCUGUACAUGUUAGAUCUACUCUAUUAUAUUUUGGCACGUUAUCUGACCAUAAUUCUCAUUUUGCAGCAGGUGUUAGGUAGCUCUUUUGAAAUAUCAUCUCUCUCACCCCCUCGGUUUCGGGCAUUGUGUACUGGAAAGAGUAAUCCUGGUUAAUUCUUUUCCACUUUGCGUAGGCAAUUUAAUCUGAUGAAUACGAUUACAUCCUAUUCUUGCUUACAUUUGAAUCCUCUGUCUAAGGUAGACCACUGCCUUCAAAUAUUCCUUAUGAAAUGAUGUCACUAUUGUUGGGGAGCAGUUCUGUCGAUAGCAAGAAUAUAUUAUUUAGCUGACGGUUUUGAGGAAAGAAUAAAUACUAUGUUUUGAUUCUCAGAUUUUAGUUGUUCGUACCAACCUACUCCUGUGCUCAUGAUUUAUUUUUUAUUUAGAUAAAUCAAAUUUAUCAUAGAUAACUGAGACAUGGACUAUUUAGGUUGGCUUGCAAUUUUUUUCAGGGAAUGGUAUUUUAUUGUAUUGCACUGAAGUUCUGCAUGGGACAAGUAUGCAAGCUGAAUUUCUUCAUGCAUGUUGGCAUGAUUUAAUUUGGAUUCUCAUGAUUUCAUAAGAUAUCAUGUAAUUCAUUAUGCUUUGCACCGGAUUGUUUGACAUAUACUCUUUUGUCAGCUUGGCUUCAGCGGUGCCGCGGUGCAUAUCUUCAUAAAUUGUUGUCUUCUUUCACUAUACAGAUUUCAUACCUAGAUGUAAAUAAUUUAAUGCAUCUUUGUUGUCUCUUUAUCUUGAGAUCUUAUUGUGGCAUCAUGAUUUUUUCCGAAUGUACACUGUAUACCUAUACAUGAUACAACUAUGGCGCAAUUUGCAUGCGCUCUAACUGGGUAGAUAAGUGCCAAUAUCAGUUUUAGACCUACUUCACAUGAUAAGUUAAGUUGGGUUUUUUUUUCUUUACAGAUGUAUCUGCAAUGUCACUCUGAACUUCUUCAGGAAGAUGUCAUGUGGAACUAAACUGGGGCCAUCAUUUCAGUUAUAAACUUCUGCAGAGAAAAAAAAUCCUUCUAUUGUUCACCAUUUAUAUACGUUACAUUUGUAUAGUCAUCUUUUGAUAAAAUUACAUAGUUACCAGGCUUCUCCAAGUCACCCUGUUAUCAA